rnacentral:rRNA from 1 species
UACGGGGGGGGCAAGCGUUGUUCGGAAUUACUGGGCGUAAAGGGCUCGUAGGCGGCCAACUAAGUCGGAUGUGAAAUCCCCAGGCUUAACUUGGGAACUGCAUCCGAUACUGGAUGGCUUGAAUCCGGGAGAGGGAUGCGGAAUUCCAGGUGUAGCGGUGAAAUGCGUAGAUAUCUGGAGGAACACCGGUGGCGAAGGCGGCAUCCUGGACCGGCAUUGACGGCUGAUGAGCGAAAGCCAGGGGAGCAAACGGG